rnacentral:lncRNA from 1 species
UUUGAGUUCAAGAUUUUCAUACAAAAGAUUAUUCAUAAACAAAAGGUAAAAAAAAGUGAAUCAUUCAAUUAAGAAAUACAGGGACCACUUUCUGAGGGGAUGAGAGCCCUCCUUUGUAUGAAGGGAAACAAUCAAUCAAACCAAACUAGAAUAUCCAGGUGGAGAGGAAGCCUGUUUUGGGGCUUGCAUCCUUUCAUGUAAUUGCUCUCAUUGGACCAUCUGGAAGACUGGGAUUAUUGC